rnacentral:rRNA from 1 species
UACGUAGGGGGCAAGCGUUGUCCGGAUUUAUUGGGCGUAAAGAGCGUGUAGGCGGCUUUACAGGUCCGUUGUGAAAACUCGAGGCUCAACCUCGAGACGCCGGUGGAAACCGUAAAGCUAGAGUCCGGAAGAGGAGAGUGGAAUUCCUGGUGUAGCGGUGAAAUGCGCAGAUAUCAGGAGGAACACCCGUGGCGAAAGCGGCUCUCUGGGACGGUACUGACGCUGAGGAGCGAAAGCAUGGGGAGCGAACAGG